rnacentral:lncRNA from 1 species
AGCAUCCAGCAAGACAUGGUGGUGAACCCUGGCUCUAAGUCUUCAUGAUUAAGCGACUCUUUUGCACAACACAAAGAAACACUUCGGCUCUAAGAGGCAUUUUUCUGAGGCGAGCAUAUUUAAACAGCAGAAUGGGCUCUUGUGGCUGGUGAUAAAAUUCCCUCUUCUGUCGUUCUCAAAAAAACAAAAUAAAACAAAACAAACAAACAAACAAACACCAAACCAGGAGUUUUGAAAUUUACACAAUUUCCAGAUGACUCUCUUGAGAUCUUCGCACUCUAUGAUUCUGCAGGUCUGUGAAAAAUUAAGACAAUUUAAAUCUGGAGUCAUUUCUUCUGAUACCUGAGCCUUUAGCUGUUUGUUAC